CCUACGGGAGGCAGCAGUAGGGAAUAUUGCUCAAUGGGGGAAACCCUGAAGCAGCAACGCCGCGUGGAGGAUGAAGGUCUUCGGAUUGUAAACUCCUUUUGUUAGAGAAGAAAAUGACGGUAUCUAACGAAUAAGCACCGGCUAACACCGUGCCAGCAGCCGCGGGAAUACGGAGGGUGCAAGCGUUACUCGGAAGCACUGGGCGUAAAGAGCGCGUAGGCGGGAUGGCAAGUCAGAUGUGAAAUCCUAUGGCCAAACCAUAGAACUGCAUGUGAAACUGUUAUUCUAGAGUAUGGGAGAGGUAGGCGGAAUUCUUGGUGUAGGGGUUAAAUGCGUAGAUAUCAAGAGGAAUACUGAUUGCGAAGGCAGCCUGCUAGAACAUAACUGACGCUGAUGCGCGAAAGCGUGGGGAGCAAACAGGAUUAGAUACCCUUGUAGUC
rnacentral:rRNA from 1 species